AGACCACGUGUGCAGCUUCACUCAGUGGGGCGUGCAGCACAACAGACACACACUCACACACACACACACACACACUCCCUGCUGCCAUCUCACACACACUCUCUAUAUUGUAUGCCUCUCUGCACUAACUCUGGCUUCUCACUCUGAUUCACACUCCAUCUCACACAGGGGGACUGGUCUUGAUCGCAUUGUCGUCCUGACUUUGGACAGCUGUGCACGACUGUGGCUUUGGACAGCUCUGAUUGACUGUGCUGAAGGUAAGUGAGUUGGGAGGGGAUGUGUCUGAAGGGUUCUCUGACCAGAUAAGGGACGUGAGUGUGAGGUUAGGGACGUGAGUGUGAGGUUAGAGACAUGAGUGUGAGGUGUGAGGUUAGAGACAUGAGUGUGAGUGUGAGGUUAGAGACAUGAGUGUGAGGUGUGAGGUUAGGGACGUGAGUGUGAGGUGUGAGGUUAGAGACAUGAGUGUGAGAUUAGGGACAUGAGUGUGAGGUUAGAGACAUGAGUGUGAGGUGUGGGACAUGAGUGUGAGGUUAGGGACGUGAGUGUGAGGUGUGAGGUUAGGGACAUGAGUGGGAGGUUAGGGACAUGAGUGUGAGGUUAGGGACAUGAGUGUGAGAUUAGGGACAUGAGUGUGAGGUGUGAGGUUAGGGACAUGAGUGUGAGGUAUGAGGUUAGGGGCAUGAGUGUGAGGUUAGGGACGUGAGUGUGAAGUUAGAGACAUGAGUGUGAGGUUAGGGACAUGAGUGUGAGGUAUGAGGUUAGGGACAUGAGUGUGAGGUUAGGGACAUGAGUGUGAGGUGUGAGGUUAGAGACAUGAGUGUGAGUGUGAGGUUAGGGACAUGAGUGUGAGGUGUGAGGUUAGGGACAUGAGUGUGAGGUUAGGGACGUGAGUGUGAGGUGUGAGGUUAGGGACAUGAGUGUGAGGUGUGAGGUUAGGGACAUGAGUGUGAGGUGUGGGACGUGAGUGUGAGGUGUGAGGUUAGGGACAUGAGUGUGAGGUGUGGGACAUGAGUGUGAAGUUAGGGACGUGAGUGUGAGGUGUGAGGUUAGGGACAUGAGUGUGAGGUUAGGGACGUGAGUGUGAGGUGUGAGGUUAGGGACAUGAGUGUGAGUGUGAGGUUAGGGACAUGAGUGUGAGGUGUGAGGUUAGGGACAUGAGUGUGAAGUUAGGGACGUGAGUGUGAGGUGUGGGACAUGAGUGUGAGGUGUGAGGUUAGGGACAUGAGUGUGAGGUGUGGGACGUGAGUGUGAGGUGUGAGGUUAGGGACAUGAGUGUGAGGUGUGGGACAUGAGUGUGAAGUUAGGGACGUGAGUGUGAGGUGUGAGGUUAGGGACAUGAGUGUGAGGUUAGGGACGUGAGUGUGAGGUGUGAGGUUAGGGACAUGAGUGUGAGGUGUGAGGUUAGGGACAUGAGUGUGAGGUAUGAGGUUAGGGACAUGAGUGUGAGGUUAGGGACAUGAGUGUGAGGUUAGGGACAUGAGUGUGAGGUGUGGGACAUGAGUGUGAAGUUAGGGACGUGAGUGUGAGGUUAGGGAUGUGAGUGUGAGGUGUGAGGUUAGGGACAUGAGUUGAGUACUAUAUGAAGUGAAGUAAAUAAAGAUCUCAUUUAAAAGAGUCAGGUGCUUAACUUAGGUUACAGGAGUUAUUGGGGGUUAGGGUUAGUUUUGAUGUGGUGAGGUGUGUUGGUUUUGAUAUUAUUGGGGGUUAGGGUUAGUUUUGAUGUGGUGAGGUGUGUAGGUUUUGAUAUUAUUGGGGUUUAGGGUUAGUUUUGAUGUGGUUUUGUAACAUUAGUGACAUCACACAAUACUGGUCAGGUCAGGUCAUUCUAUCUAUACUGUAGGAAAAAGCAGUGAUAAGUAUGCGAUCUAUGUAUCUAUGGAAGCAGUGAUAACCAUUAGUUGUAUUGUGUGAGUAGACAGUAAGAUGUUGAGUCAGUGGGCCUCCAUUGUAUGUGUGUGUGUGUGUGUGUGUGUGUGUGUGUGUGUGUGUGUGUCUGAUGGGGUGAGCCUGAACAAGGGCAGGAAACAGCUGGGUCUGAGAGAGGAAAUUAGGAACAACACACCAGGA
ensembl:lncRNA